rnacentral:rRNA from 1 species
GAUGAACGCUGGCGGCGUGCCUAAUACAUGCAAGUCGAGCGAACAGACGAGGAGCUUGCUCCUCUGACGUUAGCGGCGGACGGGUGAGUAACACGUGGAUAACCUACCUAUAAGACUGGGAUAACUUCGGGAAACCGGAGCUAAUACCGGAUAAUAUAUUGAACCGCAUGGUUCAAUAGUGAAAGACGGUUUUGCUGUCACUUAUAGAUGGAUCCGCGCCGCAUUAGCUAGUUGGUAAGGUAACGGCUUAGCAAGGCGACGAUGCGUAGCCGACCUGGGAGGGUGAUCGGCCACACUGGAACUGAGACACGGUCCAGACUCCUACGGGAGGCAGCAGUAGGGAAUCUUCCGCAAUGGGCGAAAGCCUGACGGAGCAACGCCGCGUGAGUGAUGAAGGUCUUCGGAUCGUAAAACUCUGUUAUUAGGGAAGAACAAAUGUGUAAGUAACUAUGCACGUCUUGACGGUACCUAAUCAGAAAGCCACGGCUAACUACGUG